rnacentral:rRNA from 1 species
UACGGGGGGGGCAAACAUUGUUCGGAAUUACUGAGCGUAAAGGGCUCGUAGGCGGCCAACUAAGUCAGACGUGAAAUCCCUCGGCUUAACCGGGGAACUGCGUCUGAUACUGGAUGGCUAGAGGUUGGGAGAGGGAUGCGGAAUUCCAGGUGUAGCGGUGAAAUGCGUAGAUAUCUGGAGGAACACCGGUGGCGAAGGCGGCAUCCUGGACCAAUUCUGACGCUGAGGAGCGAAAGCCAGGGGAGCAAACGGG